rnacentral:rRNA from 1 species
AAUGAACGCUGGCGGCAUGCCUAAUACAUGCAAGUCGGGCGAGCCGCGGACGGGUGUGUACUGUAUGGGGAUCUGCCUGUUGGAGGGGGAUAACUACUGGAAAGCGUAGCUAUUACCGCUUACCAUCAGUUGAACCCAUAUGGGCUUGGCUUGUAGUUGAGGUAACGGCUCACCUAGGCGACGAUCACUAGCGGGUCUGUGAGGACGAUCAGCCACACUGGGACGGAGACACGGCCCAGACUCCUACGGGAGGCAGCAGUGGGGAAUAUUGCACAAUGGGCGCAAGCCUGAUGCAGCCAUGCCGCGUGUAUGAAGAAGGCCUUGGGGUUGUAAGGUACUUUCAGUCGGGAGGCGUUACCGACAGAAGAAGCACCGGCUAACUCCGUGCCAGCAGCCGCGGUAAUAC